CUGAGUCCCUAUUUUCAGGGAAGCAAAUUUGAGGCUCAUGCUCUUGCUUCCUCAUGCAGCUGCCUUGUGAGUAAACUCUCUCUCUGCUGCAAGCUUGCCGUCUCAGUGUUUGGCUUUCUGGGCGGUGGGCAAAAAUGAACCUGGCUCGGUAACACUAUUAACAGUGUCCCUUAAAUCUCUCUGGAAAGAAGGAAGGACGAUUACAUUCACCAGUUUCCAUCUCUGCUUGCUUGUGCUCCUUGAGGGCAUCUGUGAGGCCCGGGAUUCCUCACCACCUAUCAGAGAGAAGAACCCGCAGCGGGUAGAGGAAAUGUCUUCCUCCCCUACAAUACCAUGCAUCGUUGACUGAAGUGUCAUUAGGCGGCACAUGACUGUAGAAGGCUAGAAACUGAUCGCUGCGCUCACCUGUGACCGCCCAGCUCAAGACAAUAGACUUGCCUCCUGCUACGCCCUCCAAGAUAGAAGACCACUACCUGCUGUGUCCAUCAAGCCCUGUGCCAACAGGGCAAUCUUGUGACUAUUGUGGGAGGGACAUUUCAAUCAUAUGUGAAACACCC
rnacentral:lncRNA from 1 species